GGUCGCGGCCAUUCAUUUAGUUUGCCAUUUUGGAACAAGAAAUUGGAAGUUAUAAUGUGGUUAAGUGAGGGCAGCUAUAGAUUAUGAUAAUGGAUUGCUUUAGUGUUUGCUAUAUAUGAGCAUUAUGUUUUGUUAAAUUAAUAAUUAACAUCUGUUUACAGCCAACUAAUAUCGAAAUAAAUUGUUUAAAUGUUCGAACUAUUUGAAUUUGCACGAACAAUACAGACCAAAGUCAUGUGUUCAAAUCACAUCCAUGCUAUCUCGCUCACAAAUCAAGAUGCCUGGAGUGGCAGCCGUCGAUGCAACUUUGGGUUGGCAACGUUAAAAUUUUCACUUUUUUGAUGUAACACUUCAAUCCACUAUACACGGAGAAAGAUAUACUAACUUCGAAACGACAUACCUACAAGUUCGUUCCCGCACAGUUGACCUGCGUAACCGAAGUAUGUUCAAAGCAGGAACAACUAUGAAGUGCUUCAUAGAACCAACGCAUGUGAACCAUGAUGAGUGGAUAUGACGCCACGCUUUACAUGACGUAACUUGGCUGGUUCUAUGAGCAAAUAAUGAUGGAAGAAUAUUACGCGAAACGAAAGAACUGCGCGGAAGGAAUCGACGAAGAAAAUAGACAUGAACGAAAAGCUCAAGAACGAAGAUGGAGCCAUAGCAUGCCAAGACUAAGAUUUAUUCUUAGUCGAUGUAAAUACUAACUUAAGUGAGCUGUAGCAUAAAAAGUCCCUUAUAUUUAUUGAAUGCUUGUUUAAAAUUGAGCGUGCAUGUGGUACACUGUGUGUGGUGGGGGGUGGAGAAGUAUAAGGAGAUCAAAUGAUUAAAGUCCACCUUUGUACACGUUAGUAAUGUAACGUGGUUGGGAAUCUUGGGUUUUAUUUCUUUAUGUGUGUAUGUGUGUGUAAACAACCUGCAUAAGAACGGUGCGCGCAGGUCAGA